rnacentral:lncRNA from 1 species
AAAGAGUGCUAUAAAUCUCAGCGGCUGCGACCCAGAUGCAUUUAUUUACUUACUGAGAUCUUUACACAGGAUACUUCAUUGGUAAUUUAGCAGCGGUCUGCUGUUUUACACAUAUUUUGAGCACAUCAGUAGAAUUCUGUGAAGGCAAUGCUAUUCAGAUGCUUUCUGCAGGGGUGUGUUGUAGACACUGGAGGCAAGAGUAAGCAAGAGUGCUGUCCUGGACUACUGGAUGAUAGCACCAAACCUGACUAUGGAUCUAUGGCAUGUUUUGUUCAGAUGUGGAUUUUGGAUCCAUACUUGGGUUUGGGUUGUACAAAUGCUCUUCAAAAGUGAAAUCCUGGCCACGUACAUUUUUCCAUUGACUUCUAUUGACCUAGGAGCCAGCAUUCCCCCCAAAACUCCAGAGGAGUGUGGAGAUGUGCAACAUCUCUGUGAGUCAGUUGGCUUUUUGUUGUUGAGGUUUUUUACCACGUACUGGUUCUUUUUUCUUUUUUUGCUAUUUUUUACAAAGAACAGUAACAUGCAAAGAGACUAUAAAUUAUAAAUGAACAGUUUCAAUGAGGCUGUUGAUUGCAAUGACUGAAAUCUAAUUAGGCAGUUUGAGAUCUAAGUGAUAUUAUUAUUAAAGAGUUACAUUAACAGAGCAUUUGAUCAACCUCUUAAUUUGUUUUAUGUGAACUAUACUUAUGAGAUAGUGUGCUUCUGAGUGACACAAAAAUCAAUUCUUUUUUUUAGAGGGAAACAACAUGGUGAGUUGAAAUUGAAAUCAAUUUUUAGAGAAGACCUGUGGAAACAAACACAUUAUUUUUCCAUCCUAAUUGACUUAGUUUAAUUGACUUUAAGUAACUAUUAGUGUUGAUUGCAUUUCUUUUGAUGUGACAUUAACAGAAAGGGUCCAAUUUUGAAAACAAGAGGCAUGGGGGGGUCCACAUGCAAAAUUACAUAUAUCAUUGUACCUGUACUGGAUCACCUAUUUGUUGUGGUGGCAUGCUAAUUAACUAGUUAGGCUAUGGGUUCUUUAGGCAGUUAACUCUAUCUUUGUGUAAACUCUACAUUAAUUCUGUAUUUGUGUACACAAUCUUAUUAAAUGUCUGCUUUGCCUGUGUGCACUUUUUUUCUUUAAAUAUCUGAUCUAAUGCAACCAUAUGCAACAAUGGGAGUUGGGAUAUGCAUUUCUAAUUUGCAAAAACAGUUAGUGUAAGAAUGCGAGCACGUUGGGUCACUAUGCAGGCAGUGUUGCUGGACAGUUGUCAUGGUACUGGCAUGCCGCAAUCAGGCACCAAAUGAGCACCAUCACUUUUUGAAGAUGGAGCCUGGAAGAGCUCCUGUCA